GGGCCCGCACAAGCGGUGGAGUAUGUGGUUUAAUUCGAUGCAACGCGAAGAACCUUACCAGGGCUUGACAUCCUGCGAACCUCUGGGAAACCGGAGGGUGCCUUCGGGAGCGCAGUGACAGGUGGUGCAUGGCUGUCGUCAGCUCGUGUCGUGAGAUGUUGGGUUAAGUCCCGCAACGAGCGCAACCCACGUCUUUAGUUGCCAGCAUUUAGUUGGGCACUCUAGAGAGACCGCCGGUGAUAAACCGGAGGAAGGUGUGGAUGACGUCAAGUCAUCAUGCCCCUUACAUCCUGGGCUACACACGUACUACAAUGCUACGGACAAAGGGCCCCCGUCAAUUCCUUUGAGUACGA
rnacentral:rRNA from 1 species